rnacentral:rRNA from 1 species
UACGUAGGGGGCGAGCGUUGUCCGGAAUCAUUGGGCGUAAAGCGCGUGUAGGCGGCCCGGUAAGUCCGCUGUGAAAGUCCAGGGCUCAACCCUGGGAUGCCGGUGGAUACUGUCGGGCUCGAGUCCGGAAGAGGCGAGUGGAAUUCCUGGUGUAGCGGUGAAAUGCGCAGAUAUUAGGAGGAACACCAAUGGCGAAGGCAGCUCGCUGGGACGUGACUGACGCUGAGACGCGAAAGCGUGGGGAGCAAACAGG